GACGAACGCUGGCGGCGUGCUUAACACAUGCAAGUCGAACGGAAAGGCCCUGCUCUUGCGGGGUGCUCGAGUGGCGAACGGGGGAGUGACACAUGAGUAACCUGCCCUUAACUUUGGGGUAACUUCAGGAAACUGGGGCUAAUACCCGAUAGGAGCUCCUGCUGCAUGGUGGGGGUUGGAAAGUUUCGGCUGUUGUGGAUGGACUCGCGGCUUAUCAGCUUGUUUGUGUGGUAGUGGCUGACCAAGGCUUUGACGGGUAGGCGACCUGAGAGGGUGACCGGCGACAUUGGGACUGAGAUACGGACCAGAAUCCUACGGGAGGCAGCAGUCGGAAAUAUUGCACAGUGGGCGGAAGUCUGAUGCAGCAACGCCGCGUGCGGGAUGACGGCCUUCGGGUUGUAAACCGCUUUCGACUGUGACGAAGCGUGAGUGACGGUAAUGGGUAAAGAAGCCCCGGCUAACUACGUG
rnacentral:rRNA from 1 species